rnacentral:rRNA from 1 species
UACGUAGGGUGCGAGCGUUAAUCGGAUUUACUGGGCGUAAAGCGUGCGCAGGCGGCCCGUUAAGACAGGUGUGAAAUCCCUGGGCUCAACCUAGGAAUUGCGCUUGUGACUGGCGGGCUCGAGUACGGUAGAGGGGGGUGGAAUUCCUGGUGUAGCAGUGAAAUGCGUAGAGAUCAGGAGGAACACCGAUGGCGAAGGCAGCCCCUGGGCCUGUACUGACGCUCAUGCACGAAAGCGUGGGGAGCAAACAGG